GGUGAACGCUGGCGGCGUGCCUAAUACAUGCAAGUCGAGCGAACGGACGAGAAGCUUGCUUCUCUGAUGUUAGCGGCGGACGGGUGAGUAACACGUGGAUAACCUACCUAUAAGACUGGGAUAACUUCGGGAAACCGGAGCUAAUACCGGAUAAUAUUUUGAACCGCAUGGUUCAAAAGUGAAAGACGGUCUUGCUGUCACUUAUAGAUGGAUCCGCGCUGCAUUAGCUAGUUGGUAAGGUAACGGCUUACCAAGGCAACGAUGCAUAGCCGACCUGAGAGGGUGUUCGGCCAACCUGAAACUGAGACCCGGCCCACGCCCCCACGGGGGGCAGCAGUAGGAAAUCUUCCGAAAGGGGCGAAAGCCUGAGGGAGCAACCCCGGGGGAGUGAUGAAGGUCUUCGGAUCGUAAAACCCUUUUUUUAGGGAAAAACAUAUGUGUAAGUACCGGGGCACCUCUUGACGGUACCUAAUCAAAAACCCCCGGUAAACUCCGG
rnacentral:rRNA from 1 species